rnacentral:lncRNA from 11 species
UUCGGAUAUCAGAAAUGAGCAAUCCGUGAAUGGAUGCAUUCUCGAAUUGAUUUACGAAAUGCUUGAAGUGAAUUAAAUUGAAUUAUGUGAUGCCACUUAUUUAGCUCUAAUUGUAAACAUCUGAUCAUGAAAAGACUUUUGGCUUUGAGACUUAUUCUGUGCAAAAAAAAAAAAAAGAAGAAGAAGAGUUGGAGGAGGAUGUGGCACAGUCAGCCCUCCAUAUUUGCAAGUUUUAACUUUUGCGGUUUGGAUUAUUCAUGAUUUUAUGUAAUGUGAGAACUUCUGCUGGAACUUAUCCAUUGAGUUGCCCUGGAGGUCUUAGAGUAACUCUACCCGG